GAUUAACGCUAGCGGCAGGCCUAAUACAUGCAAGUCGAGGGGUAACAGGGUAGCAAUACCGCUGACGACCGGCGCACGGGUGAGUAACACGUAUGCAACCUACCUAUAACUGGGGAAUAGCCUUCCGAAAGGAAGAUUAACACCGCAUAACAUCACGAGACGGCAUCGUUUUGUGAUCAAACCUCCGGGGGUUAUAGAUGGGCAUGCGUAACAUUAGCUAGUUGGUGAGGAACGGCUCACCAAGGCGACGAUGUUUAGGGGGUCUGAGAGGAUGAUCCCCCACACUGGUACUGAGACACGGACCAGACUCCUACGGGAGGCGGCAGUAAGGAAUAUUGGACAAUGGGGGCAACCCUGAUCCAGCCAUGCCGCGUGAAGGAUGAAGGCGCUCUGCGUCGU
rnacentral:rRNA from 1 species